CGUGCCGAGGCGCCGCGCCCUCGUUAAUCCCGCGGCAAACCUGCAACUGGCGAAGAGGAAUUCGCCCUCGCCGCUUAAGCGGUGACGUCGGUCUCCAGCCUCCCUCGGACGGGCGGAUACCGGCGACGUGCAGUCCGGGUGCUCGGGCCGGGUCGCCGGGACCGGUCCGCCAAGACUCCUCCGGCUGGCGCGCGCCCUGGCCUGUCGGUCGGCAGGGGCGCGGGCGAGACCUCAAGGAACGACUAGGCACGGA
rnacentral:tmRNA from 1 species